UUUUUUUUCUUCUUUCUUUUUCAGUGAAUUAGCUCAUCUGGAUGAUCUGGGUAUCUAUCCACUGUGCACAUCAAAUCCAGUGCUAGUGUAUGGUUGCCCUUGAGGGUUGGUAAAUGUAUUUGUUUUCCACUAAGCCAAACAGGUUUUAUUAUUGGUAUUAUAGUCAGUGACUCAAGAAAUGAUUAUUCUAUCAAAUAUAUGGUUAAAAAUUCCUGUUUGUUACACUACCAGUAAGUGUCAGGAUUUUUGCUGGGAUUACAAGUUUGGGGUAGAAUGUAUAUGUAACAUGAAGGCCUGCAUUUCAAUCUAUAUACCAGAGAGAUUUCUGUGAAAUUCAGUUUUAAGAAGAAAACAGUUGAAAGGCAGUUGCUGCCUUGUUGAGGACCAAGGACAUAGACUAGGAUUUUGGAGGUACCCAGAAAAAGAAAAAUCGGCUUUGGCCUCAGAGAAUAUUCAUACUUAGUCUGGAUGGAAAAAUGAAAGAUAGACCUGCAAUUGCAUUUUUGCAACUCUACUCAAAUUUGUUUAAUCCUACAGCUACCCAAAACCAACUUUUAUAUUCUUAAGACAAAUACACUUCAGCCAAAACCAAAACAAAAAAACAAAACAAAACAAAAACUUUGAUUCAUUAAUGUUUGGUACCAGAUAAAAUUAUAUACGCUUAAGUUUAUAACUACAUUUGAGUCUACAUCGGGUUACUGAUUUUCUUUUCCUUUCUAGUUUCUUUAUACUAAUAUCAUACCCUAAUGAUGACUGCCUUAUCAAACUAACCACUUCUUUCACAAUUUUUCCAAAAUGCAUGAACAAAAUAGUACACUUCUUAGUAUCAGUUUUUAGGUCACAAUUAUUAAGAUGUGAAAAAAGAGGCAUUCCUGUUGUGGCUCAGGGGUAAAAAACCCAACUAGCUUCCCUGAGGACACAGUUUGAAUCCUGGCCCUGCUCAGUGGGUUACGGAUCUGGCGUUGCCAUGAGCUGUGGCAUAGGUCACAGACAUAGCUCAGAUUCAAUGUUGCUGUGGCUGUGGCGUAGGCCAGCAGCUGGAGCUCCAAUUGGACCCCUAGCCUGGGAACUUCCAUAUGCCACAGGUGCAGCCCUAAAAAGCAGGAAAAAAAAUGUGAAGAAAAUAAGGUGGGGAGAAAGUUUGAUCAAAGCAGUAAGCAGAAUAAUGGCCCUCAAAGAGAUACACACCUUAAUCCCUGGAACCUGUAAAAGAACAUAUUAUCUUGCAUGGCAAAGGAAUUAUGAAAAUGUGAUUAAGGCUAUGGGCCUGAGAUGGUGCAAUUAGCCUGGAUUAUCUGAUGGGCACUUCUCUCCAGAUGAUUCUUUAAAAUCUCUAACUUUUCCCAGCUGUAUUGAUCAGAAAGAUGGUACAUGAGAAGGCUCAAUCUGUCACUGCUAGCUUUGAACAUGGAAGAAAGGGACCAUAGCCAGGAAUUCAGCCCACCCCUAGAGAACAGAAAAGGCAAGGAAUGGAUUCUCUCACAGAGCCUUCGGAAAAGGAUGUAACCCUUGGCAACAUCUUGAUUUUAGCUGAGAGAGAUCUGCGUUAAACUCCUGCCCUACAGAACUGUAAGAUACUAAAUUUGUGCAGCAAAGCCACUAAGAUUGUUUUAAUUUGUUAUAGCAGCAAUAGAAAACUAAAGCAUCCAGUAUAUUUCCUGUCCAGGACUGUUCCCAUUUCAUCACAGAGCAGCAGGGGCUGAUGACACCCCAAUAUCAAUGAAAAAAUAGUUUAACAUUUUAAAGGAAGUUUGGAUACAGCAGGAAACACACGUAGUUUAUAACUAAAGCCAUGACUCAACCAACACAUAGCAAUGGGACCUUAAGAAAACUCUGAACUUUUCUGAAGUUUCAUAUUAUCUCGUACAUACUGAGACUAAGACUUGCUUAUUUUACACAAUAAUUGAAAAUAAUCACAUUUCAAAAGGGAUAUGAACAGGCUUUGUUUUUAUACUCUAUAAAGAACCACACUGUUCAUUACUUUUUUCUUCAAGAAAAUAAGUAUUUCCACUAUAACAUUUGUCGAACUUAAGCAGAAAUGAUUGUCUCCCAAAAUCCAUUCUUCCUUUCUGUCCUUAUACAAGGAUCUUUCAACUUUUAGUUUGGAAUCUGGCAAUGAAGCCCUACACCUCAGCUUUCUUUCUAGUCAGGGAUGGUCAUAUGACUGUGUUCUAACCAAGGGGGCAUCAGUAACAACUGAAGCAUGCAAAUUUUAAAUGAUCCCUUAAAAGGAGGAUGUUGCCCUCUGCUUCUUCCUCACCUGACCCCAUAGGCUAGAAUGGCUGUGGCUGCCUAAUGGCAGCACUCACCAUAAAACUGAGAGCAUCAUACUGGUCAGGGUGGUCAAUAGCACAGCCAUACCUAUUCUUUCAUACAUCAUCAUGGUAGCAGCAGAGUUGAGUAACUACAUCAAAAACCACAUGAUGUGCAAAGACUAACAUAUUUACCAUUAGCCCUUUACAGCUAAAGCUUUCUGGCUCCUGCUCUAGGAAUAGGAGAUGAACAAAAUAUCUGAAAUCUAGGUCUUUGGACAACAUCUUCGAGCAGAGAUGCUCAUCUCCUCUGACUGCCUAGCAGCUUGGAUUUUUAGGUGAAUCAGAAACAAAUUUUUCAUAUUGUUUAACACAUUAUUUUGUCAAUUACAGUGGGCAUAAUAAACCAGGAAUAGUAAAAAAAAAAACAAUGAUGAUCGUGAUAAUAACAGUUAAUAUCUAUAUGGGGCAUACUGCAUUCUAGGACUCUUCUGGUAUGUGUGUAUUAUAUACACAAGCAUUUCAUGCUUAUAAUCAUUCUAUUAAGUACUAUUUUUUUUUAAUUCCCAGUGGACAGAUGAGUAAACUGAGGCCUGGUUGUUAAACAAUGUUUCCAAGGUCAUACCAAAAAAACUGACAGAACCAGGAUUUAGACCCCAGUCAUUCAGUACCAGCAUCUCUAUUCUAUUAGAUUCCCUCUUAAUAGGUCAUAGCUGUUUCAUUUCAACUGAGAGCAAGUCUGAUUGUUAGUCCUCCCCAAAUGCAUUUCUUUAAAAAGGAGACCUGCUAGAAACAAUAGCUUAACCCCAAAAUAUUGACCAGUGGUGGAUUAGGGCUGAGAAUAUAAAUAGCAAUUUGUCAUCUUUUAAAUAAAAUGUCUUUUUUAAAAAGUGCAUACCCAAUCUUCAGACUUAGAAAAAGUUUAAAGAUUUUUAAUUAAUUCGAGAAAUCUUACUUGAAUUGGGGUAAUCUAUUUGGAAACAGACAUAAAUGCAUGGUAAAAGUUCAAAGCGAUAAAGUGAAACCUAGGAAAAAGGAGGUAGGAGAGGGAACAUUAAGGCACAGGAACCUGAAAUCAUUGUGUUGUUACCAGGUAGAAAGAGAACAGCAUACUUGAUUUCUUAAUUACCUUUAAGACUUGUUAAAAUUGGAAACUGAGAUUCAGGAGAAUUGAACUAGUUGCUCAGGGCCACAGAAAUUUUCAAUGAAAUACACAUCCUGGUUUACCCAAGCCAAGCCAAGCCUCUUUGUGCUAAAAGAUCUAUGAGAGAACAAACAAAAUAGAAGCAAAAUAGCCUAGUCAUUCCAGGCAAAAAGUAGUUUAAGAAUAAGACGGAUACUUAUUUAGAGCUACUGUGCAGGAUUAGGCAGCACUUCAGAGGGUAAUGCACAAGACUGACCCAAGGUUGAUCAAACUCUACAGGAAAAAAGGAAAGACAAUUGCCAAAUGCUGAUGGCAUUGAAGAAAGCAAAGUCAUGCAAAAGUCAGAGCUCCAUAAUUGGUACCAGUUCAUGAAAAAGAAAAGUUAAAUCUGUGAGGAAAGUAUUGAGCAUUAAAGAAACUCACUCUUCCAGCUGGCAUAUCUAUUGUCACUGCCAAGGAGGAGAUUAGUGGUUGAUAAGUUCUUUAUUAUUGAUUUCCCUGAGCCUUGAAGUUCCCCUAAAGAUGGAGAAUAUGAUAGGAUGAGCCUCACCACAGUUCUGAGGUUAAAUGCAAGACAUUGUGAUUGCCUCAGUCAACUGGAAACAAAUGGCCUGUAGAAUUAACUGACUUUUAUUAUCCCUUAGUUCCAUACCAUCUAGAAUUAAUCAGUAAGGACAAAUAAAGCAUUAUUAUCCUUCAGAAGUGAAUUUGAAUCAUGGACUCAGAAAGGCCUCUGGGGGAUCAUCUGUUCAUUUUAGAGAUGAGAAACCAAAAUUUCCAGGAAGACUUGGGGGUAAUAUUGUGCUUUCUUGGUCUUAAAGCAUGAAAUGAAUCUCUGUUGCCAAGUACAUUUCAAAACUCAUGACAUAGUUGUAGGCAGUCUGGAAUUGAUUGAGCCAUGAAUCAGCAUUCUGGGGUGUUCAGGAGGAAAGAUUUGUGUACAUAAUGCACAUGUAUAAGUGAUUUUCCCAUAAGAGAAUGGUCUGGUAUCUGCUUAGUGUCGUUAAAGGAUAGGAAUUGGUGUAGUGUUGUCGGGCAAGAAAUGGCAAGAUAUAGCUAAAAAAAUGAGCUAGGCUCUGGUUACCAGGUACUUUGGACCACAACUGGGAGGUUGGGUUGCUUUUGUAAGUGCAGUUCAAGUCACUGGAGGAGUUUUGGGAGGAGUAUGACACAGCUAAUUUGAACCAUUCACCCACUCUCAUUCAUAAGCAAGCAUAGUUUUAGGCUCUCAGGAAAGAGUAAGAUACAUUCCCUGCCUAGGAGAACCUCAAAGUCUUUUGGAGGAGACAAAACUAUAAAAUCUAACAAAAUAACAAUGAAGCCUGGCUGCAAUUUUUUGAAAUAGUUUCAGAAGGAUAGGUGUUAGCUCUCUUCUAAAUGUUUGAUAGAAUUUGUCUAUGAAGCCAUCUGGUCCUGGACUUUUCUUUGUUGGAAGUUUUUUAAUCACAGUUUCAAUUUCAGUUGUUGUGAUUGGUCCAUUCGUCUUUUCUAUUUCAUCUUGGUUUAGUCUUGGAAGAUUGUACUUUUCUAAGAAUUUGGCCAUUUCUUCUAGGUUUUCCGAUUAUGUGUGUUCUUCAACCAACCCCCCCCCCUCAAAAAAAAAAGUCUAGUUUUCAAAAUGACUUUACAUAGGACUUUCAUUUGAUCCACAUAGGAAAACUGUACUACCUUUACCAUUUAUGAAACUGUACUCAGGGGAGCUGAAUGACUGAGUGAGAUAAGAACUUAAGGAUGGCAGAGACCAACGUCAAAUCUAGACUCUGACAGUAGCAGCUGCUUAUGGUGGUGUAUUGAGAAUAUUACAUAACAUUGUACAAAUUCAGUAGGAAAGAAUUUAGUAAUUUAUUGGGAUAUCUGGAACAAAAUGAUGUCCUGCUUUUAGAAGAGAAAAUAUGGAUGGAAAAUGCAAGAUAGAAAGUGGCCUUCCAGCUAGACCACCUCCACAGAGCAUUCAGAGCUCCAUAAACUACCUGGAAACUUCAUUCACCACCUUUUGGAAGGUAAACACUGGAAAUAAAGUUUCUACCUUCUAAUGAAAUUACAUCAUGACAGUACUUUUAACCCAGCUUCUG
rnacentral:lncRNA from 1 species